UUGUUUUGAGUUGUACUUAGGUGAUAAGUCAGUGCUUCACCACCAGUAAGUUGAAAGGGGCAAAGUUCUGACACUUUGUAUACAUGUUGAAGGGCAAGAUUUAAGAGACUAAAAGUUUACAUUAAGCUGUUUUCCUUUUCUGUCAUUAGAGUAUUAGUGCUUAGGCAAAUAAAAACUGUCCAGCCUGGUGUUCCAACAGCAUCAGGAUGUUGCAUAUUGUAAUCUUUUCAAAUAAGAAAAGCUAGUCUUUAUUUUCUACAGUGUAGGCUUAAUUUUUAGGACAGAUAGUAUAUGAUAGACUCAUCAGUGAUAUUUUUAAGUAGUAGUUUUAAAAAUAGUAUUUCUAUGUAGAGACUGUUUCAAUUUGGAAUUUUUUUUCUUGUCACAGGUGCUAUAUGUAAAUAUGAAGGGCAAAAAGUCACCUAGUUAAAAGUCUAGUUAAUUUUCUAAUUAGAUUAUGAUUUUACAUUGUUUGCUGCCAUUUCACGUUUGGUUGUACUGAACUAGUAGCUAAAUGGGAUUAGCCCCUUAACUUUUUAAAUUCUCUUCCCCUAUUUCACAAAAAUACCUCUUUCCCUAUGGUUUUCCGUAAUUAGGAGACAAUCAUAUAGUUCAUUUAAAAUCUGUGAACUUGAAUUUGGUCAACACUGGGUUAUUUGAAAUCAUCACUAUGCAUUCUGUGCAUUUGUCACUGCAGCUUACUGUGUGCUUGAAAGACCUUGUGGAUUUGUCUUAAUUUCCGUGAAAAAUUAGAAUUCCUGCAAUGAAUAUUAUGUACUAACAGCAAACAGGAUAAAAAUGUUGGUUUGCAUUGAAACUGUUUAACCCUGAAAGCAAUUUUAUGUGAAAUGCAGUCAUUAUACGUAUUUUCUUGGCCACGAUUCAUUUUGACUGAGAAAUAGUUGUUCAGGUUCAACGUGAAAAAAACUCUAGCUGUGACUUUAAAUUGUUCAAUUGCAAAAUAAAGAUGUGCUUUAGUAAUUUAAAUAUAAGAGUUUUAAAGAC
rnacentral:lncRNA from 1 species